rnacentral:rRNA from 1 species
ACAAGAAACACCAUCGAGCGCCAAGUACAACGACUCGCGACCAAGCUCAACGUCAACAAGCAACCCAUGAUGUUCAAUGUUGGAGAUCUUGUGUGGCUACACCUUCGCAAGGAUCAUUUCCCCAAGGAACGCAAGUCCAAGCUACUACCCCGAGCGGAUGGACCCUUCAAGGUGCUUGCACGCUACAACAACAACGCAUACAAGAUCGACAUUCCACGCGACAAGUACUCCGUGAGCGACAUCUUCAACAUCAAAGAUCUAUCCCCGUACCAUGGUGAUGAGGAUUUCGAUCCGAGGUCGGAUGUUUCC